UGCUAGAGCGCCUGCGCAAACCCGUCUUGGGAGCAGUUGUGCGCGUGCGCACAGUUGCUUAGGACGUUCGUGAAAUGUGAGUGGUAUCUGAACGGUCCCCUAGCGGAUCUGACGUGGAAAAGCUCCUGUGGUCACCACACGAGCUGGAAUCCAGUGGAUUGUCUUCUUUUGCCUCCCAGACUGCUUUCCCAUCUUGUUGGUUUCUUCCCGAUGAGACAGGAAAGGAGACAAGACAAUGGAUAUUGAUUAACCGCCCUCAUUCCACCUUGACUACACAGAAUCCUAUAGCCAGGAGGGUGAACAAGACCCAGCAGCCUCCCUGCUGCCUACUCCUCUGUCUACAUACCUCUGAGCUGGCAGGAAGAGCAAAGCCAGAGUCAACUUCCUUCCCAGCCCCUGGUCACUUCUAAGGACUGAAGAGGACUCCUUCCUUCCUCUAAGCCCAAACUUCAGAGAUUCCCUGAACAAAACUACAAACACAGCACAAACAGAAGGGAAUUAGAAGAGUAAAUAUGUUUGGAAAUAAUACCGUUGGUUAUGAUAAACAGAGAACAGAGACCAUCUUCUUCAGAGGAUGUGGUAGCAUGUGGACUAAUUAAUUUUCUCUAAUUGUACAGAAACAGUUCUUUGGUAAAAAUUUUCCUUCUCAGAGGAGACAGAAGACUAUCUUGCUGAUUUGAUGAAAUGCAUUUUGUCCUUAAAGACAAAAACUGGGACAGUGGAGAGGGUGGCCUGAGGAAAAUGGCCUUCUUCUCCCAUGCUGGCAGGACAUGACCACGGCCACAGGAGCAAUAGAUGGGGAUGAUCCAGGCACAGUGGCUGAUCCAUGAUUCUGACAAUUUUGUGAUGAUGCCUAGAAAGUUGGAAAACAAAUACAAGUAUCCUACUGGGUCAUGUUCUGGAUGGCAGAGAAAAUACCUUCAUAGACAUUGGUGUAAAAGUUGACAUUAGAUAUUAUCCUGAGGCAAUGUUAAAUUUAUUGUGUUUAUGUGUACUGUGUGUAUAUAAGACAAUAUCUUUUUUAAAACUAUAGAAACUGUAGUAUUUAUAGGUAAACAGCUUUGUUAUAUGCAACCUGCCCUUACGUGUUCGAAAAAAAAAAUCUAUUUCUCUAUC